AUGCCCGCCUCCGCGCCCCUCCACUUCUCGCCCCCGAGGGAGCUCUCCCAGCGCGUCCCGGACGGCGGCUGCGGCGGCGGCUUCUCUCCUCCGCGGGAGUUCUCCCAGCGCCCCUCCUCCUCGGCGGCGGCCGAGAACACCGACUGCCAGAUCACAGGGGUGGCGGGCCCGGACCGGCCCAGGGGCGCGCCGAGGGAGAGGGAUGCCAGGGCGCCCAGCCAGGCCCAUGGUGACCGCGUCAAGGCCGUGCCGCCCAGGGGGAGGCUCCCUAGGGCGGCCAAGGAGAAAGAGAGCAAGUCGGCCGAGGAGCUCAGGAGGGAGCUGGAGCGUACCUUGAAGCAGAUGAAUGACUUGAAAAACGAGCACAUUGAGCUGAAGAAAGGCAUGAAAGAGAAAGACCUUGAAAUCGAGGCCAAAGAAGCAGAGAUUCAUAAUCUUAAGAAGGCAAAUGUCAGAGAUAUUUCUAGUAAGGAGAUGGAUAUUGAUCAGCCUUGCCAUACCCCUGCAAAUGAGGCUUUGCAUGCCAGGGGUUCCUGUUGGACAUCCACGAAGAGAGUAUCUUUGGAGGAAAGCGGCCACCCUGAAUUAGAAAGGAACAAAUCUAAGGACAUUAAGACUAAAGGAGUCCAGACAGAUCUUCCACUGAACAGUGGACAUCUUGAGCGCAAGAAAGUAUUAAUGAAUAACAUCUCUAGCAGCCUAUGUGCAAUCUGGGGCAGGCCAGCUAACAGUAUGUUAGGGAGGAGUUUGAUCUCGAAGAUCCUUGCUUCUUGCUCAGAAGAAAUGUUGACACUUUUCCAAUCUGCGAGAUUGCCAGACAAGUGUGAAACCUCUACUGAAGCGAGCUCCUCCAUGAAUAAUGCUGUUUCGGAAGUAUACGAUAUUAUUGUCAAGAUGAAUAGUGACACCAUACCUAUACGGACGCUUCUUGAAGCAUUGCUAAAUCUGUGUGUUGUUGGUAAUGCUGUUGUUGUCGGUAGAGCGCUGCGGAUAUUGCAUAGCAUCUUGCAGAACUUGCUCACUCAUGGAACCAGGUCUAACCAAAGGAACAAUGUUUCUAUUGAGACGUAUGUUGACAAUAACAUGGAAAUGGAGAGGAACAAUCAAGAACACAGUUCUGCUUUGCUGAAUAUGCCUGACCCAGAGGAAGCUGGACUUUACAUUGGAAAUAUGUUUCUUCCUUCUACAUUCUGGACUCCAUUCUUCACUGGAGUGCUACAAAUUGCGCUAAAAUAUUCGGAAGAGGGUAUUCGUGUUGAUGCAUUAUCCAUAAUGAUUCUCAUUGUAAGGACUAGUGAUUCCAAAGGGGAGCGUGAAAAAUUUGGAUUUAUUUCUAUAAUGGAAAGCUUGCAUCAGUUGCUGCAGAAAGAGAAUGCAUUGCUCGUAAAGAAGCAUUCGGUGCAUCUACUUUUCUUGCUUUUGAACUGCCCUGUGAUGUUGAAGAUGCUUUGCAGUGGAGGUAAAGAUGGUUCUGAACUGAUGGAAACUGUUGGAUGUGAAAACGAACCACAACAAGCUAUAAACUCAGUUCUUAAGGACUUGUCUGAAUGUUUAACUUGUGAAGCAACGACUUCUCUGGAGCUCAAGCUUUGUCGGCUAGUUGUGAAUCUAUUAGCGUACAUAGCUUCUAGUGGCAAAUUGGGAUAUGAAGUGCUUCUAGGUUCAGUGACUGCCCACGGUGCUAGUUUUCUUGAGUUGACCAUGGAAGUCCUUGCUUCCAAGAUGGAAUGCAAAGUUGAUUUUUCAACCGAGGUACAUGAGCUAUUGAAUGAAAGGUAUUUGCUGAUGAGAGAAGUUCUGAUCCUUCUAAACCGACUAGCCUCGCACGCCAUGUUUUCAAAGCCAACCCUGGAGGUGCUGAUGGGGAGCAAGCGGUGCGCGGGGUUGACAAUCGACAUCGCGAACCGGCUGCCCCAGAGGAGCAAGUACCCCUUGAGGAAGCUAAACCCUCAGAUGGCGAAUGAUCUCGCCGAUUUGGCCCAGAAGUUCCGUUCGCGGGUGUACGGUUUCCUGGAGGAGCAACAGCAUUCGACAGCUGAGCGUUGCGAUACAGGCGCCUUGGGCAAGCCUCCGAGAGUAACAAGAUAG
rnacentral:rRNA from 1 species